GGCAAACAUUAAAGUCUAAUGAGGUCUAUAUUGCAUCUGCAUGUAGUGUGUUCCAUGAAUGGCUGAAUUACAAUAAUGUUAUGAUAUAGAAUAAUUAAACAACCAAAACCUUUACACGACAUGACACAAACUCUUUUUCUAUGCCUCAUUUAUUAGCUCCUUAGUUACAAAGUGCAGCCACACAAACAUUUAACAAAAAAAGUUGCAUUUCCAUGAAAUCAAACAUGUUAAUAGUUUAUACUAUUUCAAUAAUAAAAUAAAAGUGCACUUCAAGAAUGACGUCUAACAGCCACCAGACAGGGCAUGUUUUGUAAUUAAGUAUUUUAGAACCUGAGCAUAUAUCCUGCCCUGAAAUAGCAGUAAAUAGCAGUAAUAAAAAAGAGCAUGAGAACAGCAUAAAUAAUGAAACACAUUCAACAUUUCAGUCCCACAGAGACUUUACAAGGAACUUAUGCUUAGAGCCUAUUAAUGUUUUGGUUAGGACCAAACAACAAAGUCUUAAUAGACAAAAUAUACAGCCAAACAAGGGCUGGAGUCUGUGUGGCUCGGAUUGUAACCAAGCCCCCAGGAACACAUACUUCCGCAAUCCACCAGUGCUCAGCGGCCAAGCCUGGUAUUGCAGCUGUUUAAGCGAGAAGGGUCCAGCUGCAGGCUUGGGCGUUCCCGUCAUGACACAAAAACGCCCAUCGGGCGUUCCCGUCAUGACACAAAAACGCCCAUCAGGCGUUCCUGUAGCGUUUCAUCGAUCACUCAAGAAGAGGUGAGUGAGUUUCGCAAGGCAUGCUGGGUAUGCUACCCUUCCUUUUUUGGCGGUUUUACCUCGUAGUAACUUUCCAGAAAAACGAAAGGGUUAUGAUCAGAGAUUAUGUCAGUAAGUAUGAUAUUGUUUAAUUGACAACAUUGGCUGUGAAGUAUUCUCAUUUAAAUCACUGAUAAGCUGUGGUAUCGUUGUAUCCGAAUUCGAAUCGGAUAUAAAUACUCGUGACAAGCAUGGUUCGGUGGCAGCGAAUGCUAUGCUACUAUCGUCCAUAAACGUUGAAUAUACUAUUCAGAAAUCAGCAACGUUUAAGACGGUUUGUAGGUAGGGUAAAGUUUGCAGCGAAGGCUUUGCCGAUUAUUUUACUGUGAGGUUAACAUUACCAAAGUACAUUGUUAAGUUGGAUGUUAAGGUGUCAGCUGGCAUGGUAAGAGGCAUGAAAUCGCGGCCACUCUGCUUCGUUGUGGUGACACACGCAUCGGAUUAAACUGUGCAUGUAAACGUACUAGUACGUCUAAACUAACUAGUAUGUUUACAUGCAUGGCAUAUCAGAGAAUUCUGUCAGUUCGGUCGCGGCGCAACGAAUGAAUAAAGAUCGUUAGCACUCUGAAAAACAGAUGACAGAUGUGCCCUCAGUUACUACUUUAUUACCUCGUUGAUGACCAACGUUUAGGAAAACAUGUACUUUUAAUUCACCCUUGGGUGAAAUCGAAGCGUAGUGUGUACUGAAUGCGUGUUGAUGAUGAUGCAUAUGAAUUGCAACUUACACGUCUUCCAAACCUUUUCAGUACCAUGGCACAUGCUUUGUCCAAUGGACCAUGGAAGGGACUUUACUUGGCUGACGAGGACGCACCUCACCAGUAUCAGAGCAACAGCUGUGGGGUGUUUAUGCUGAUGGUGAGAUGCAUUAUUUUCAGAAAUGAUGACUAGUUUGCAAAACAACUAACUCAUUUGCAUGUUAAUUUCAGUACGCAAUGUAUUCUACCCUCAAAAGCAAUAUGAUUUCAGUGAGGUACUGCACUUACGGGAGGAGAUGGCUACAUCUUCACAAUAAUUUACACUGCCAUAGUACACUGCUAAACAGUACUGUAACAUGGAUUUGUAUUGGGCUAUGAAGUCAUUUAAAGCAUAAUUUUACUUUUCAGGGGGACAUGCUCUCUAUCAGGAGGUGGUGGUUUGACAGCUGUUGGAGACCUUUAUGCUUGAAAGGCUAGCCCUGCAGAACUAGCUGGCUCCUUCUCACCCUCUCCAUCUCCCCAUCUCAGUCACACCUUCCAAUCACUAAGCAGUGAAAGCCCUGCAGGACUAGCUGGCACACCAAGCUCAACCUCUCGAUCUCCCCAUCUCAGCCACACGCUCCAAUCUGGCACAACAGAGGACAGGCCAUUCUUACCACCCGAAGUCCUUCAGCAAAUUGUACAAGAGACGCUGAGACUGGACAUGGCGAUGCUUGGCGUGUUCAACAGGGUUUCAAACACAUUCCGAGAACUUAUCAAGCCUCUCCAUCAUUCCAUAUAUAUAAAUGACAAUUUGGCAGGGGACAUUAAGCUUAAUAAAGACAAUCUCAUAUACAUAACGGUUAGAAAGAUGUACAACAAUGCAGGCUGUGUCAGUGGCCUUGCGCUACGCCUCAAAGGCUUCUCAAAAAAGAAGAAUUGGCCUAGCGCACCCCUGGUACUGAGGCACGUUGCAUAUGCCAGGUUUGUCAUAAAAGAUGUCUGCCUGGCAUAAUGUUCUUUUAUUACUCCUUUUUCGUUUUAUUUGGGACGUCUUUUUUUGCAAUCCCUUUCAUUUGUAAAUGUACAUACUACUGUAGUAAAUGUAUCUGCCCAGAAAUGCUGGUAUUUUAUUACUCCUUUCUUUUUUGUUUUUGUGACAAAUGCUAUACGAUGUAUGUAACAUACAUUUGUGCCUACGAUGUAUGUUGUAAGGUUAAUUGUUACAGAGCAAUUACUGUAUUUUGUCUUUAUUGAAAACAUUCAGUGGGAAAAGUAAGUGAACACUUGGAGUCAAAUGGCCUACUGUUUGAGCCUUCAUAGUGUCUGGUAACUGGAUUUGAACUGCAUAAUGUCCCAAGUGUUAUUUUAAUCUAUUAAUUAUUUAAUUUGGGCAUAUUCUUAAACUAUACCAAACAUCUCACUUAUACCUAAUACACUACCUAUACUAACCCAGAAGAUAAUGAACAUGAGAUCAUGGAGCCUCCCUCCCUGUAAUGAGGGGGAAUGAAGUUUGGGCCGAGAUUCGACACAUAAAAGUAAGCUAACAUUCUGUAGGCCUAGCUGGCUAACGUACCCGUAUUACGAGAUCGAAGAAGAAGGGGGCGCUAACGUCAGUUUUAUGCUGCCCAUACUACUAGAUCGACGAAGAAGAACGGGGCGUUCCAGCCUGCGUAAACGAGAACGCAGGGGGGGGGGCGUUUUAGUCUGCGUGAACGGGAACGCCCACGACACGGGAACGCCCAUUUGUGUCUGCAGUCGGAUGAUAUUGGUUUAAGCGGGCUGUGGACGGGUCCCUCAAAUCAUGGGACCCAGAAGUAGAUAUCUCCGUUCACUCCAAUACAAGUGGGGAACAGGAAUGUGUCUCCGCAAAAAAUGUCUGGAUAUCAAUCAAAGGCUAAUAAUUACCUUCAUGCCAUGUCCUCAAAACGCCACCUCAAGCGUUUUAUUAGCCGUUAUCUCGCUGGGGAAGAGGGGUGUGCAGUUGAAAGGAGUCGUAGUGAAACAAAUGGCAUCCGAGAGGGCCUAGUUCAGUGCUCCGUUAACGUGUCCGAUUUUUGAACUGGUUCAUCUGCUGCUCAAUAACUCUCACGGUCCUCUGCUUGCGAUCAUUGUGAUUCAUCAUGUAUUGAUCCAUUUAUUCAAAAGAUCCAAAGACAAAGAACAGGUGCAUUACGGUAUCAUUUUAUAUUGUUGUUGGACCGGAGUGGGGGGAUGGGCACGCAUGCGUUCUAUAUUUCUGCAUCCGGUACGUCACGGACUAGGCCACGUGUCUUGGCCCCAUAACGCAGUAGCAAAUCGCUCUUGUAUGUUACCCUGCACCACUGAGCAGUUUGUAUAGAGUGGCGAAGUCACGCCUCUU